CYGAACUGUUGACACGAGUUGUUGCUGGUCCCCACAUGGGGGCAUGUGCACGCUCUGUUUACACAUCCACUCACACCGUGGCACCCUCUGUAGUUCUAUGGCCUGGGGGGCUCUGUCCUCUUGCCUUGGUUCUAUGUCUUUACAAUACACACCGUAACAAAGUCUUAUGGAAUGCAUGCCGCGUCUAACGCAACACAAUACAACUUUCAGCAACGGAUCUCUUGGCUCUCGCAUCGAUGAAGAACGCAGCGAAAUGCGAUAAGUAAUGUGAAUUGCAGAAUUCAGUGAAUCAUCGAAUCUUUGAACGCACUUGCGCCCUUUGGCUAUUCUGAAGGGCAUGCCUGUUUGAGUAUCAUGAACACCUCAACUCUCAUGGUUUUUCCAUGGUGAGCUUGGACUUUGGGGGUCUUGCUGGCCUGUGGUCGGCUCCUCUAAAAUGAAUCAGCCUGCCAGUGUUUGGUGGCAUCACAGGUGUGAUAACUAUCUGCGCUUGUGGUUCUCCACCAGGUAACCUUCAGUGAUGGGGGUUCACUGGAGCUCAUAAAUGUUUCUCCUCAWCGAGGACAGCUUUUGACG
rnacentral:sRNA from 1 species